rnacentral:rRNA from 1 species
GACAGAGGUGCCGAGCGUUAGGCGGAAUCACUGGGCUUAAAGCGCGUGUAGGCGGACCGUUAAGUGCCCGUGUGAAAUCCCCCGGCUCAACCGGGGAACGGCCGGGCAUACUGGCGGUCUUGGGCCACCCAGGGGUCACCGGAACAGGCGGUGGAGCGGUGAAAUGCGUAGAUAUCUGGAGGAAUACCGGUGGCGAAGGCGGCAUCCUGGACCGAGAUUGACGCUGAUGAGCGAAAGCUAGGGGAGCAAACGGG